CCUACGGGCGGCAGCAGUGGGGAAUUUUGGACAAUGGGGGCAACCCUGAUCCAGCCAUGCCGCGUGCGGGAAGAAGGCCUUCGGGUUGUAAACCGCUUUUGUCAGGGAAGACAUCUUCCGAGCUAAUACCUUGGGAGGAUGACGGUACCUGAAGAAUAAGCACCGGCUAACUACGUGCCAGCAGCCGCGGUAAUACGUAGGGGGCUAGCGGGAAUCGGAAUUACCGCGCGUGGUUGGGCCGCACGCGUGUGAAAUCCCCGGGCUUAACCUGGGAACUGCACUUGUGACUGUACGGCUGGAGUACGGCAGAGGGGGAUGGAAUUCCGCGUGUAGCAGUGAAAUGCGUAGAUAUGCGGAGGAACACCGAUGGCGAAGGCAGUCCCCUGGGCCUGUACUGACGCUCAUGCACGAAAGCGUGGGGAGCAAACAGGAUUAGAUACCCCGGUAGUC
rnacentral:rRNA from 1 species